rnacentral:snRNA from 1 species
AUCGCUUCUCGGCCUUUUGGCUAAGAUCAAAGUGUAGUAUCUGUUCUUAUCAGCUUAAUAUCUGAUACGGGUUCAAAUGAACCCCAGAAUAUUAAACUGAUUUUUGGAAUUCGGUGGGAUGUCAAUGCUUGCAUUGAUCCUGCCACGGGUUGACCCGGUAUUGCAGUACCUCCGGCUCGGCUCACCCCUU